rnacentral:rRNA from 1 species
UACAGAGGUCCCAAGCGUUGUUCGGAUUCACUGGGCGUAAAGGGUGCGUAGGUGGCUUGGUAAGUUCGAUGUGAAAUCUCCGGGCUUAACCCGGAAAUGGCAUUGAAUACUAUUGAGCUGGAGGUUUGGAGGGGGACUGGAAUUCUCGGUGUAGCAGUGAAAUGCGUAGAUAUCAGGAGGAACACCGAUGGCGAAGGCAGGUCUCUGGGCCACUACUGACGCUGAGAAGCGAAAGCAUGGGGAGCGAACAGG